UACGGGGGGAGCAAGCGUUGUUCGGAUUUACUGGGCGUAAAGGGCGCGUAGGCGGUCAGCACAAGUCAGUUGUGAAAUCUCCGGGCUUAACUCGGAAAGGUCAACUGAUACUGUGCGACUAGAGUGCGGAAGGGGCAACUGGAAUUCUCGGUGUAGCGGUGAAAUGCGUAGAUAUCGGAAGGAACGCCGGUGGCGAAAGCGGUCUGCUGGACCCCAUCUGACGCUGAUGCGCGAAAGCCAGGGGAGCAAACGGG
rnacentral:rRNA from 1 species